UCUGUAUGAGAUUUUGUCUGUAUAGCUUUGCUUCCACCAUUUAUCCAAAGGUUCUAUCCGUUCGUUUUUUUUCUUAAUUUUUUUUCUUAAUAAGUAUUUUUUAAUUUAAUAACUUUAUUUUACUUUAUCUUCUUUCUUUCUUUCCUUUUUCCUUCCUUCCCUCCUCCCUUCCUUCCUUCCUUCCUUCCUCCCACCGUCCCUCCCUCCCUCCAUUCUUUCUUUCUUUCUUUCUUUCUUUCCUUCUUUUCUUCUUUCUUUCUUCCUUCCUUAAAUUCAAUAUAGAUAUUUAAAUUUAAGGUAAAAUUAAAUUAUAAUUUGAAAUUAUAUGUGGAGUUUUAUUUCCUAAAGAAUAUUUUGGAAAUUUCAACUCCUAUUUUAACUUAUAUUUUCAGAGAAGGUAUUUGGUCCAAAUGAAGAAUAUCUUCAAUUAUAGUUCUUCUAUUGCAAGCAAAAAAGGAUUUACACUUCUUUUCAUGAAAUACGGUUGUUUGACAACAGAAGGAUAAAUAUUUUAUAUUUUUAGAAACAACAGUCAGGCUACUGAUAUUCUUAAUGAGUUUUAAUAAAUCUGAAUGCUUCUUAUCAUCUACUCUUUAGCUGGUACCUGAGGAGUUGUAUACCUCCGGGAAGAUAUGUGCUCCAGACCCGUAAAUAUGCAGUUCACAGAGCCCACCACCAGAGGACAAUAAUGAAAGACAGAAACACACAGAGACAAUUCCAUGUGACAACAGUGAAAGAGACCAGAGUGAUGCAGCUGCAAAUCAAACAACUGCCAACACCAGUGAUUGAUGGCCACCACCAGAAUCUGGUUAAGACAAAGAAGGAUCCUCCCCUUGAGGCGUCAGAAAGAACAUGGCCCUCUCAACACUUUGAGUUUGAACUUCUGGCCUCUAGAGCUGUGAUAAAAUAAAUUUCUGUUCUUUUAAGCUAACAAGUUUGUGGUAUCUUGUUAUGGUAGCCCUAGAGAUGACAGUAUUUGAUUCCUGAGCUGGCAACUGUAUUUUGACUAUGUAAUGACUAUUCCAAGAUAAUCAACAGACACAAAGAUAAAGGCAAAACUGAGACUAAGCCCAGUUCUUUUUAUUCCCAGAAUUAUAAAUGAUUUUUUAAUUAAUUUAGAUCUCUUUGUCUAACCCCUCUGCUUUUCAGAAGAGUAUGUGGGACCAAUCAAGUAUUCAUAUGUUAUACUUUCAUUUUAAUUCAUCUCAAAUUAUUUCUAAUUCCCCUUAUGAGUUCUUACUUGACCCAUGAAUUAUUUAGGAAUAUAUUCUUUAAUUUCCAUUUGUGAUUUUCAACAAAUUUCUUUCUGUUAACGAUUUCUUAUCGCAUUCUGUUGUCAUCUGAGAGCACUCUUUGUAUUGUUUAUGUCCUUUAAAAUGUACUGAAAUUUGUUUUAUGGCCUAGCAUAUAGUAUAUCCAUGUGCAUUUGAAAAGAAUGUAUAUUCUGAUGCUGUUGGGUGGAAUGUUUUAUAGAUGGCUGUUAGGUCUACUUGAUUGAUAAUGCUGUUCAAGGUUUUUAUUUUCUUGUUGAUUUUCUGUUGUUCUGCUACUGAAAGAAGGGUAUUAAAGUAUCCAACUAUUAUUGUAGAA